GACUGCUCAAAGCUCACAGCAGAUGAAACCUUUCCUGAAUGAAGAGUUGAAUUCGUGAGCUGGAGAUCCUGGACUUCUCUCAUAUAUGUGUGUGUGUGUGUGUGUGUGUGUGUGUGUGUGUGUGUGUGUGUGUGUGUGUGUGUGUGUGUGUGUGCAUGAACGUAUUGUUUUGGUGCAGAGGUGUGUGAAAGGCACACCGGGGUCCAUCCUCUUUCUGAGCCAUAGAUAUACAUAUUAAAAACAUCGACAGCUGACACUACUAACGCCGACACCCUGAAUAUGCCGAUCGUUUCAACAUUUCUUUAUUUUACUUCAGAAAGCAAUGUCUGGUGCGUGACCAUUAUUUCCUGAUCCUUAACGUGCUUAACUGACCUUCAUCAAAUAAAUAAUUAAAUCCAUCAAGCUGAUGUAGCAAACAGAAAAAAAGUGACUGAGACAACACAUGCAAAAGCUAAUAUUCUGUCUAGCAUUUUAGUGGUUGCAGCAAUUUAAGAAAGUCUGCACGCAAAAUGUCUUGUAACAAGUAAAUAACAUUCUGCUGCAGGAAAAAAAAA